rnacentral:rRNA from 1 species
UACAGAGGUGGCAAGCGUUGUUCGGAAUUACUGGGCGUAAAGGGCGCGUAGGCGGUCUUGUAAGUCCCGUGUGAAACUCCCUCGGCUCAACUGAGGAACUGCACGGGAAACUGCUUGGCUUGAGUUCGGGAGAGGGAAGCGGAAUUCCGGGUGUAGCGGUGAAAUGCGUAGAUAUCCGGAGGAACACCGGUGGCGAGGGCGGCUUCCUGGACCGACACUGAGCGAGCGCGAAGCU